rnacentral:rRNA from 1 species
UUGGAGGGCAAGUCUGGUGCCAGCAGCCGCGGUAAUUCCAGCUCCAAUAGCGUAUAUUAAAGUUGUUGCAGUUAAAAAGCUCGUAGUUGAAUUUCGGGAUUAGUACGUUGGUCGUGCCUUAGGUACGUACUGGUGUUACUGGUUUCUACCUUCUGACGAACCAUCAUGUCAUUAAUUUGGUGUGGUGGGGAAUCAGGACUGUUACUUUGAAAAAAUUAGAGUGUUUAAGGCAGGCUCGCGCUUGAAUACAUUAGCAUGGAAUAAUGAAAUAGGACGUUGAUCCUAUUUUGUUGGUUUCUAGAAUUGACGUAAUGAUUAAUAGGGAUAGUUGGGGGCAUUAGUAUUCAAUUGUCAGAGGUGAAAUUCUUGGAUUUAUUGAAGACUAACUACUGCGAAAGCAUUUGCCAAGGAUGUUUUCAUUAAUCAAGAACGAAAGUUAGGGGAUCGAAGACGAUCAGAUACCGUCGUAGUCUUAACCAUAAACUAUGCCGACUAGGGAUCGGAUGAUAUUAAUUUUUUAAUGACUCAUUCGGCACCUUACGGGAAAC